CCCUUAGAUGUUCUGGGCGGCCCGCGCACUACAUUGGCACUCUCAAUAAGUUCCUAGAUCUAAAACUUUGGGGUAUUCUAUUAAGUGGUGUCGUGACUGAGAUUAACCCUUGCAAUUAUUGGUUACGAACGAGGAAUUCCUUGUAAUCGCGGUUUAUCAGCCCGCGUUGAAUGCGUCCCUGCCCUUUGUACACACCGCCCGUCGCUCCUACCGAUGAAUCGUCCGGUGAAGUUCAUGGAGUGGUGGUUGUUCCAGCUGCUGUCGAAGUGAAAUGGACCUCACGAUUUAGAGGAAGGAGAAGUCGUAACA
rnacentral:rRNA from 1 species